UUUAAUGUAUCCGGUACUAAGUUAACGCACAUUCUAAAUAUUCUAGACAGUUUAGUAUGUGUGUUACACGUAUCACACAAGAUUUGAAUCGAUUCAUAAAGCCCGGGAAGAAGAUUGAAAGGAUUCAAACUAUUUUGAAUCGAUACAAUAUAAAUCAGAAAGAUUUCAUGAUACGAUUCAAACUAUUUUAAAUUGAUUCAGGAGUAAUAAGAUUUAAAAUUUCAUGGAAUGAAUCACCCCAAGUCAGAGACUUUUGGUGACAUGAUUCAAGCAAGAAUGAAUCGAUUCAAAAAGUGCAGAAAACCAGUUUUGACAGCUGAAAAGAAGUUAUUUGGGACAUAAGCUAUGUAUGACACAAAAGAAUCACAAAGUAUAACGAGGCGCAAUUUUUCUAGGUGCUUUAACAUAGUUUAUGCUAUACUACCAAAAUAAAAACAACAUCUAAAAAUUCUUAUCAACAUCAAAACAUCAUCAAAACAUAAACUAAGACUAUGCAGGCUUCAUCUCCCAUACCCAAACUAUUGCCUUGAUUCUUUCCUCCACUUCUUGCCUCUAAUUACCAAACUAAGCCAUAUACAGCACCAAACACACAUGUGCACAUCUUCUGACUGAACCUCAAACAAGCAGAAAAGGGGAAGAUUUCGGCCAGGAGAGGAAAGGGAAAAAGGAAGUAAAAUUAGGCUUGCAUGCAUUAAGCUUCAAUUGACAUAAGAAUCACAUCUGUAUGUUUGACUAAAGGGACAGAGCAUAAGAUCCAAGAGAGAGAAAUGGGUAGGGAAAAUGAAGAAAAAAUGUAACUUGACAUAUUUAUAUACAAGUGUUAUAAUAACC
rnacentral:lncRNA from 1 species